rnacentral:tRNA from 1 species
AGCAGGGUGGAGCAGCGGUAGCUCGCCAGCCUCAUAAGCUGGAGGUCGCCCGUUCGAAUCGGGCCUCUGCUU